rnacentral:sRNA from 1 species
AAGUUACGGUCGGUUGCUUUUCGAUCGAGGCAUUCAGGUUGCACGGACUUCUAAAUGCAUGAACUACAUAUUGUAGUAAAAUGUUUAUAGUAAAAAAUAAAGAAAACACGAUCAAUGAAAUACAAAGUAUAUUUAAUAUUUGAGAGGAUUUCCCGGGUUUCUUUAUUAUUUUGCAAAGACAAUGAUGCCUUACUUCGCAUGCACAUCGAACACGUGUGUCGUUCAUACAGAGUGAAUAACGUCUGCAUCUUUAUGAAAACUCCGGUGGCACUACAUCCAACACAAUAGAUAAAUGAUAGUAAAUCCAAGAAAGUAACAACGUAACAUCGUUUCCAUCCGUUCGUACAAAAACGCCCCGUUUCUAAAAUCCAUGCGAUCAUUGACAUUGCUCGAUCUGCCACAGUGUGUGGUUUGCGCAUGUGCGAUGUUAUAAAUUUCACAGGAAAACGGUCUACAAUUAUCGAGGAAUAUUAUAAGUAUCUGCGCCUGGAUUUCAGUCUGUCUUGUUUCGAUGUUUAUUGGAUAUAUUCUGCUAGUGCAGUGGUUGUCAUUUUAUUUUUCUUCAAAACGCGUUUCUACACGUCUUUUCGUCCAUGGUAAUGUGUUCGGGUGUAUGAAAUACCUGAAUGCGGUGAAGCAUGAAUAGUGCUCUCAGCCUUAUAUAGGGGGUGUGUAGCAAUGAGCAGAACAAUAGAAAUCGACAACUAAUAUGGCGGUAGUCGGAGAUAAAAGGGAAAUAAUGCGUAUUUAUGAAUUCAUGUCAGCUUUAAGUUACUAGUUAGAAUUUAUUUCAGUAUCUUUAAGUAACAAGAAGGUCUCCUGUUUAUAUAGCAGCACAAAUAUUUGUAAUAUCUUGAAAAAUAACUUAAAGGCAUAGAAAAUUAUAACAAUGACAAUUUAAUUUAUUCUCCAUUGAAAGGAGAUUCCAAUAGUAGGUUUGGGGCGAUGUGGGCAAAAUUUGUGAGGUCGGAUUUUUUUCAAAUUUUACAUAUUAAAAGAUUUCAUUCCAAAGAAAAAAAUAUAAAAAUUUCAGGGAACAUGAAUUCUAGGAAAAUUUAGCUUAUCUGUUUUGUAUUACCUUAAAUGACUUGAAAAGUAUCAUAUUUUUUAGUUUAUCCUUGAUACACUUCAUCUUACUGCUUGAACUACUUUAAUUGAUUUCCCAAUAACGUUCGUGGAUCUUAAGAAAUAUUCCAUUCAUUUUGCAUUUCCAGAUACUUGUUGCCGUUGAUUCAAAAGUAGAUUUAGGGAAAAAAGACAAUGUCCAGAAUAAAAUUGAAUUUAAUUCUUGCAAAUG